AUUGAACGCUGGCGGAAUGCUUUACACAUGCAAGUCGAACGGCAGCACGGACUUCGGUCUGGUGGCGAGUGGCGAACGGGUGAGUAAUGUAUCGGAACGUGCCCAGUCGUGGGGGAUAACGUGGUGAAAAUUACGCUAAUACCGCAUACGAUCUGUGGAUGAAAGCGGGGGAUCGCAAGACCUCGCGCGAUUGGAGCGGCCGAUAUCAGAUUAGGUAGUUGGUGGGGUAAAGGCCCACCAAGCCAACGAUCUGUAGCUGGUCUGAGAGGACGACCAGCCACACUGGAACUGAGACACGGUCCAGACUCCUACGGGAGGCAGCAGUGGGGAAUUUUGGACAAUGGGCGAAAGCCUGAUCCAGCCAUUCCGCGUGCAGGAUGAAGGCCCUCGGGUUGUAAACUGCUUUUGUGCAGAACGAAAAGGUUUCUACUAAUACUAGGAGCUCAUGACGGUACUGUGAGAAUAAGCACCGGCUAACUACGUGCCAGCCGCCGCCGUAA
rnacentral:rRNA from 1 species